AUGUCGUCCAACUUUCUGCAUGGCGAGAUCCCCAUCCGAGCGGAUUGCCCACUCCCCGAGUUGAUGUCCCUCGUGUUGUGGUCCAACAAACUCAAUGGCAGCAUCCCUCCCUCGUUGUCAAACUCGACGAAGCUCCGAUGGCUGCUAUUGCAGUCGAACUUCCUCACUGGCGAGCUUCCGUCGGAUGACAUGUUCAGCGGUAUGAGGAGCCUUGAGUAUUUGCACCUAUCGUCCAACUUCCCCGCGAACUCGCGGAACAACACCGACCUUGAGCCGUUCUUCGCCUCACUUGCCAACUGCACCGACCUGAAGGAGCUCAGCAUCGCCGGGAAUGACAUCGCCGACAUGAUCCCGCAUGUCAUCGGUCGCCUUGCUCCCGGCCUCAUGCAACUCCACCUUCAGUUUAACAGACUCGUUGGCCCGAUCCCGGCGAACAUCUCCAACCUCACCAACCUCAACACCCUCAACCUCUCCCAUAACCUCCUCAACGGCUCCAUCCCACAGGGCAUCUCCAGCAUGCGGCAGCUUGAGCAGCUGCACCUCUCAAAUAACCUGCUCUCCGGUGAUAUCCCUCCAUCCCUAGGCAUGAUCCCGUGGCUCGGACUCGUCGAUUUUUCGCAGAACUGGCUCACCGGCACCAUUCCUCCGAGCAUCGUGCAGUGUGUGAUGAUGCAAAAUCUUGAUCUCUCCUACAACAUGCUGCGAGGCGAGAUCCCAACUGGCUUGACUAGGCUGAGUGGACUGCUCAACCUCAACCUCGCCGGCAACCUGCUGUCUGGCGCGAUCCCCGUGACCAUGGGCGAGAUGGUUAGGUUGCAAUUGCUUAAUCUGUCAGCAAACCAUCUCUCCGGUACAAUCCCGUCGCAGCUCGGCAGCUGCAUCGAUCUCAAGUACCUCGACGUGUCCUGUAAUGGCCUCACAGGGACCGUGCCUCAAUCCUUGGAGAAGGUGGCAUCGCUGCUACGUGUUAACUUUUCAUACAACGACUUCUCAGGCGAGGUGCCGAGCGGCGGGGCCUUUGCAGGGUUUCGGGCGGACGCGUUCCUCGGCAAUGACAGACUGUGUGCGGGGACGGCGUCGAUGACGCCUGGGUUGGCUAGGUGCAGCAGCGCAAAGCGCAACUUGCUCCAUAGCCGGCGACUGGUGUUGCUCGUCGUUGGCACAGUCGCGAGCUUCACGAUGGCCAUCAUUGGGCUCGCCGCGUGCCGCCGUGGGACGAGAUAG
rnacentral:rRNA from 1 species